GGUGAGUAACACGUGGAUAACCUGCCUGUACACCUGGGAUAAUCCCUCGAAAGGGGGCUUAAUACCGGAUAACAUCCUUGGAUGGCAUCAUCCGAGGUUCAAAGACGGGGUAACCUGUCAUGUACAGAUGGAUCCGCGCCCCAUUAGCUUGUUGGCGGGGUAACGGCCCACCAAGGCUACGAUGGGUAGCCGGCCUGAGAGGGUGAUCGGCCACACUGGGACUGAGAUACGGCCCAGACUCCUACGGGAGGCAGCAGUAGGGAAUAUUGCGCAAUGGACGAAAGUCUGACGCAGCAACGCCGCGUGGGUGAUGAAGCAUUUCGGUGUGUAAAACCCUGUCAGCGGGGAAGAAAAGUACGUGGAGUAACUGCCAUGUGCCUGACGGUACCUGCAGAGGAAGUCCCGGCUAACUCCGUGCCAGCAGCCGCGGUAAUACGGGGGGACGAGCGUUGUUCGGAUUUACUGGGCGUAAAGGGCGCGUAGGCGGGCCUUCAAGUCGGAUGUGAAACCUGGCGGCUUAACCACCAGCCUGCAUUCGAUACUGUUGGUCUUGAGUACGGGAGAGGAGAAUAGAAUUCCAGGUGUAGCGGUGAAAUGCGUAGAUAUCUGGAAGAACACCAGUAGCGAAGGCGGUUCUCUGGACUGAUACUGACGCUAAAGCGCGAAGGCUUGGGGAGCAAACAGGAUUAGAUACCCUGCUAGUCCAAGCGGUAAACUAUGGGUACUAGGUGUCGGAGGUAUCGACCCCAUCCCGGUGCCUGCAGCUUAACGCAGUAAGGUACCCCAGCCUGGGGAGUACGAUCGCAAGGAUU
rnacentral:rRNA from 1 species